rnacentral:rRNA from 1 species
AUUGAACGCUGGCGGCAUGCCUUACACAUGCAAGUCGAACGGCAGCACGGGAGCAAUCCUGGUGGCGAGUGGCGAACGGGUGAGUAAUAUAUCGGAACGUGCCCAGUAGUGGGGGAUAACUGCUCGAAAGAGCAGCUAAUACCGCAUACGACCUGAGGGUGAAAGGGGGGGAUCGCAAGACCUCUCGCUAUUGGAGCGGCCGAUAUCAGAUUAGCUAGUUGGUGGGGUAAAGGCCUACCAAGGCAACGAUCUGUAGUUGGUCUGAGAGGACGACCAGCCACACUGGGACUGAGACACGGCCCAGACUCCUACGGGAGGCAGCAGUGGGGAAUUUUGGACAAGGGGCGCAAGCCUGAUCCAGCAAUGCCGCGUGCAGGAGGAAGGCCUUCGGGUUGUAAACUGCUUUUGUCAGGGAAGAAAUCCUCUAGGUUAAUACCCUUGGGGGGAUGACGGUACCUGAAGAAUAAGCACCGGCUAACUACGUGCCAGCAGCCGCCGUAAAAC